UCCCUGGUGGCUCAGGGGUUAAAGUGUCUGCCUAGAAUGCAGGAGACCCGAGGUUCGAUCCCUGGGUUGGGAA
rnacentral:tRNA from 1 species